AAUUUUUUAAGAAAACAUAUUUUAUAAUUUUUUAGUUGUUUUAUUUGUACAACCAAAUGCAUGAAUCAUUAAGGAAAAUGGCUGGCAGCUCGAAAGUGAAGGCUCGAAAUGGCCCAAAAGUGUGGGCUCACGCGCCCAUAAUACCUCUCUCUCUAUCUCUAUGUUUCUCUGCAUUCUCUGUCUUCUCAUCCCUCCUCGUUGUCGAUCUUCAAGAGCUUCACAAACUGAAAGAAGACUUGUUAGCCUCCUUCUCUGAUCUCUCCCUCUCUCUCUCUCUCUCUCUUCGAUUUUCAAAGGUUCCCUGUUUUGGUCAAGUUCUAGUGGCUUCAACUCAAACAUUAAUCAAACCUCACAAACAAACAGUGAUGUGAAAGUUGUGUUUUUGCACAAAAAUGUUUACCCAGUAUUGCCCCUGAAUGCCUUACUUUGCUCCUUCUUUCAUCAUCCACUAGUUACAUGCUGUGGAUUCUUGUCAAGAUCCCCCUGGCACCUAAUCAACUUAGCCCUCAAAACAUCCAAUCUUCUAGACAGAUCACUAAACACCUUGGUAUUGAGGAUCUUAAGUUCUACCUUCAACUUCUUAAGUUUGUGGCACACUUGAAACAUAGGAGUUCCUUGAGUGCCUUGGUUCCACACCACCUCCACCAAAGGAAUAAAUGUAUAACGCGUUGCCCAACAGUCUAAAAAUUUGAAAGGCUUCUUUGAUCUUCCCUCUUCUAACUUCAUAUGCAAGAUAGCCGAAGAGUGUGAUCUGACACCUCUUGUGCAGCAAAUUUAGCAGCCACAUAACAGAAUUUAGUGAGCCACUCCUCAUUGACAAGCAACCUAUCUAUUUUUGUGGAGAUAUACUCACCCCUCUCUUGCUUAUUUGACCAAGUGAACUAAUGGCCAAAGUACCCAACAUCUUCCAAAUCUGAUUUAAGCAAAUAUUCAUUAAACUCUUCUAUUUUAGGCGACCAAGAAUGACAAGGCUUUCGGAGAUGGACAAUAACAUUCAGGAGCAGGGUAGAAGGCUUCAAAGGAUGAAAAAGAAUUUCAAGGCGAUGAUUUAUGUGAUUGUAUUAUGUAUCAUUUUGUACUUUGUAAUGUAAAUGAUUUAAAAAUUUAGUUUUUGGGGAAUUUGAUGAAUGUAAUUAUGGAUGUAGUAGACAUGAUGUAAUUAUGGAUGUAGUAGACAU